rnacentral:rRNA from 1 species
GACGAACGCUGGCGGCGUGCUUAACACAUGCAAGUCGAGCGGAAAGGCCCUGCUUUUGUGGGGUGCUCGAGUGGCGAACGGGUGAGUAACACGUGAGUAACCUGCCCUUGACUUUGGGAUAACUUCAGGAAACUGGGGCUAAUACCGGAUAGGAGCUCCUGCUGCAUGGUGGGGGUUGGAAAGUUUCGGCGGUUGGGGAUGGACUCGCGGCUUAUCAGCUUGUUGGUGGGGUAGUGGCUUACCAAGGCUUUGGCGGGUAGCCGGCCUGAGAGGGUGACCGGCCACAUUGGGACUGAGAUACGGCCCAGACUCCUACGGGAGGCAGCAGUGGGGAAUAUUGCACAAUGGGCGGAAGCCUGAUGCAGCAACGCCGCGUGCGGGAUGACGGCCUUCGGGUUGUAAACCGCUUUCGCCUGUGACGAAGCGUGAGUGACGGUAAUGGGUAAAGAAGCACCGGCUAACUACGUG